GACCUCAAGUCAUAUGAGAGUACCCGCUGAACUUAAGCAUAUCAAUAAGCGGAGGAAAAGAAACUAACAAGGAUUCCCCUAGUAACGGCGAGUGAAGCGGGAAGAGCACAAAUUUAAAAUCUACCUGGUUUUCAGGUCGAGUUGUAAUUUGAGGAUACGUUUUUGAUAUUCCUGGUUGGACUAAAUCCUUUGGGAUAAGGUAUCAUAGAGGGUGAGAAUCCUGUGUAUACCAACCACAGGGAUGUUAUUUAAUAACGUUUUUAAGAGUCGAGUUGUUUGGGAAUGCAGCUCUAAAUGGGUGGUAAAUUUCACCUAAUGCUAAAUAUAAGCGAGAGACCGAUAGCGAACAAGUACAGUGAUGGAAAGAUGAAAAGAACUUUGAAAAGAGAGUUAAAUAGUACGUGAAAUUGUUGAAAGGGAAACGAUUGAAGUCAGUCAUGCCAGUGGGAAUCAACUUAGAGGAAACUCUAGGUGCACUUCUUCGCUUGGCAGGUUAGUGUCGAUUUUGGAUGUCAUAAAAUGACUGGGGGAAGGUAGCUCCUUUGGGAGUGUUAUAGCCCUUGGUAGAUGUGAUGUCUGGAAUCGAGGAUUGCAACGGAUACCCUUUAGGGCUAGUCACCUGAUCUCUAAUUAGUGCUAGAUUACGGACAGCAUGCUGACCGUGAUUUAAUUAUUGGUUAAAAGGUUAGAGUGCACAUAAAUUCGUUAAGGACACUGACGUAAUGGCUUUAAACGACCCGUCUUGAAACACGGACCAAGGAGUCUAACAUAUAUGCGAGUGUU
rnacentral:rRNA from 1 species